GUCGCUUACGGGUCCUGUGGCUCGUAUUGGUUACCCUGUACAUUUCAUUGACUUGCGUUAACGCAUAGUCAAAUUGAAUAAUUUAGAUGUAGCAUAAAGACAGUUUGGCGACAUCGUAUCUGCAGAUGUCCUUUUGAGGCAAAUUGCACGAAAAUCGAUUUAAGACAAAACAUUUUAGGAAGUACUAUCUACCUCUCCAGCUUUUAAAUGCCACGCGCACGUAUCUGAAUCCGAGGUGACGAGUGGUUUUGAGAGAAGACACCGGCUUUAAUCCUACCUAGCUGAUAAAAAUAUUGAAGCAGACUACAAAACCACACGGUUGCCAACCAGUUGCUUAAAACGCAGCACAGAGUUCUGAUCUACUGGAACUCAAUACCCUAAAAGAACGCAAUAAUCUUUGCAACACUGGAGUCUGAAGCAACUGUUAAGAUUUUUUCCUUGAUUCUAGCGGCCGCCAUAUUUUCUGUUUUCAUGGUGAUCGCAGUAGCGGCGCAUCUGUUAUGUUUUGAAAGAAGAACACUCAAAGUAAGGUCUGUUUUAUUAUCAGAGGGGAGGAAGAGAGCAGCGAACUUCGAAUAUUCUUGUUCAGUUUGACGCUUCGAGAGACACAGAGAAACUUGGGACGUUAAAGAGUGAUUUGUACACAACAACAACAACAGUAACAGCAGGAAGAGCGACAAUACAACAACCAUUUGGUAAACAAAAACCGCCUCUCUAAUAAAUAGCAAGUGCCAUUUUGUAGCUAACAAUCUUAGACAACAUGAAUAAUUAACCUGAUACUGAGGUGUUUAGUAGGCAACCAAGAGUAUUAUCAACUUAAGUUUGGCUUGGUAUUGCUGGGGUCUGGAAUCCUAGAAUGAAUUGCUGAGUUCACCAAGGAAUCGAUAAACGUCUUUGUUGUGACGAGGACGAUAAGUCAGCCUUCUGUUGAUAAUAACUGAGUUGUGUGGGAUUAAUUCUUCAUUUUCAUCUAUGAUACAUGUUGCUUUUUUGUCCAUGACCUUAAAUGGACGAGUGAACCUUGGAUGUUCUUAAAAAAAAUAAUGCUAACCAAGUUUUUAGUGCUAGUGAGUGAUCGGAUCAUUUAAAGAAUAUUACACGUGUGACCCUGUGCUGAGGGUAUGAACGCUGUAAAAAUUUCACCUCCAUCAUUCAUUAAAAAAAUUUACUGCCUCCGCAAAAAUGCCAAAUAUUACAUCCAAGAGGAAAUAAUAGCCAAAACAAAUGAAGUUGAGGUAAAUAUUAACUGUUAGUGAGAAAUAAAAGUUGCUUUGAGAAAAUUGCAUUGUAAAAUAAGAUAUAUGACGACGAAGUAAAGAUUACUUAGAACUUUAA